rnacentral:rRNA from 1 species
CUGGAGGUAUCAGAAGUGCGAAUGCUGACAUAAGUAACGAUAAAGCGGGUGAAAAGCCCGCUCGCCGGAAGACCAAGGGUUCCUGUCCAACGUUAAUCGGGGCAGGGUGAGUCGACCCCUAAGGCGAGGCCGAAAGGCGUAGUCGAUGGGAAACAGGUUAAUAUUCCUGUACUUGGUGUUACUGCGAAGGGGGGACGGAGAAGGCUAUGUUGGCCGGGCGACGGUUGUCCCGGUUUAAGCGUGUAGGCUGGUUUUCCAGGCAAAUCCGGAAAAUCAAGGCUGAGGCGUGAUGACGAGGCACUACGGUGCUGAAGCAACAAAUGCCCUGCUUCCAGGAAAAGCCUCUAAGCAUCAGGUAACAUCAAAUCGUACCCCAAACCGACACAGGUGGUCAGGUAGAGAAUACCAAGGCGCUUGAGAGAACUCGGGUGAAGGAACUAGGCAAAAUGGUGCCGUAACUUCGGGAGAAGGCACGCUGAUAUGUAGGUGAAGUCCCUCGCGGA